UGAAUACUCCAAUCAGUCAGCAAAGCCCUGCUCAUCAAAUCAGGCUUGGAACAGUCUCUCCCUCAAUAUGCCACUCAAUCACAGAACACACUUUAAAUUACGACCAAUUCACCCCAUUGACAUGUGUCAUAGGCUAGCUAGGUCAAGGAUGCUGCUAUCAAAAGUAUGCUGUUUGCUCUGUGCUGCCUGGUGAGAGGAGAAAAGGCUUGGAGCAUGGCUGUGUCUGCAGGUCACAUCCAAGCAGAUGGGUAAAAUGAAAUGCUCUCUGGACACCCGCUCUUGCUGCUGUCUGUGCUACUGGAGGGGAGGCGAGAGGAGGUGCGGUAGUCGAUCCUGCUUUGCUCCCUGCAGCAGUUCACCUAUGCCCUCUGCAGUUGCGUUCAACUGCUCACCCUGGUCAGCGACCGCAUAUAACGGUUCCAGGCCACCGCUUUUCCGUUUCACAACAAGAAGACAAAGGCCAGGAUUCCGGUUUGGAUCCUCGCCAUCUGGGCUUUCAGGUUACUUAUAGCUAUCCUUUCGCUGGCUCUGUCCAGACGUUAUCUGUUUUACCUGAUGUGCCGUCGUCACGUAGGCAAACACGUGACGUUUGGCGCAUAUAUUUUGGUUCCAGUGUGGGGCUGCAGCCUGACUUUAAUAGUUAUUCACUACGUGUGGAUAUUUAAAGUAGUCAGGUAACAAAGUAUCAGACCGCGGGAUUCAGCUGAGGCCCUCUGUGUCGAGGCACAUCUGGAGUUGGCAGAACUCUGUUGUUUCAACACCGCGGAUAGCACCGGGGCAAACGGUCAAAUACUUACUAGCGGCUGUAGCGUUGCUGAUUCUGCAACUCCCACGGUGCACGGUGAUCACAGUGUCUGAGGAGACCAGCACCCCUGCAGCGGAGAAAGCUCAGGAGAGAGUGAGGUCCGUGUGUCUCCUCACCCCCACCGCUAGGGAGAGGGGACAGAAGAGGACAGAGGGGAAACUGGCCAAGCGCUUUGGGUACAUCAUCAUCACCUUCACUCUCUUCUGGAUGCCCAUGGUUGUGAUUCUGCUAAUACACGCCAUCGUGACGAGGGGCAGAGACUCCACAGUUCCGCUAUGAGUUCAAGAAACUGCUCUCCUCACUCCUCUGCAGGGGCUGAGGAAUCAAUCCAGACCCAGGAGGACUGAGAACUGGGACCCCUGGACAGAAGUCAAGGCUGGUCUGCGGAGGAUUCAAUUGUAGUGCCCUUUCAGCACAAUAUAAUUUCAUACAAUUGAGAAUUCUAUCAUCAUGUGUAAAUAAUCUAAUAACAUCUCACUUUUGAGGUUUGAGUUUAUUCAGGUAAAUACUAAAACAUGCUAGCCAGGCUGGUAGCCUCUUUAUCACAUGUAUAGAUGUAUGAAUUGAAUAGACAGUAGCUAAUGGGAUUGUACAGUAUGUGCCGUAACGAUGCCUUUAUGAGGGGUAUGACUGUUUAGCGUCUGUACUUACUGUCAUCAGCAUGUGUGAAAUUGCAAUUAGUGAAGGAAGAAAAGCUACUUACAACUAUAAUACACACACACACACACACACACACACACACACACACACACACACACACACUACAUCCCACCACCCCCAAUGUCUGUUAGUGGAUGACAUAAGAGACAGAGUCAGAGGUGGUUUCGGCAGAUAUAGAUGUUUUUAUCAGGCGUUUUCACAGUCGGGACACAAGACAAGGUCAUAAAUAAUAACCAACGACUGACAGGAUACGCACAGCAUUAGUGUCAACAACGACAGGAGUCAGGGGAAAGCAAAGAGUGAUGGAGAGACUGAGCCAAAGAAAAGACAAAUUGGCUAAGGGAAAAGAAAACAAAAAAAGAAGAGAGAGGACCGACACAAUAACAGACCUUAGUGUUAAUCAUUAGGGAAAAGAUAACAAUGAUUUGACACUUUUUAGGGGAGUAUUGUGUGUUUGAUCACUGCCCCCCCUACAGUGUCAUGGUAGGCUAGACUGCAAAGUCAGCCGUAUUAUUUGAUUUAAGUCAUGGUAUGCAGGACUUGUGAUAACACUUUUCUAUUUCAACCCAAUAACGUGAACCUACUUUUACAGACUGCUGUUGUCUCCGCUUUUCUGUCAAUCUAAUUAAAAUAGUGUUACAACCAGGCCUGGAAACUGUGAGUAAGAUGUAAUUCACUUCGGAAAAGUGCCUGCCUGGCUGUGCUUGUUUCUCUGUUUGCUCUGUGACAGAGAGCGUCUGACUGUGUAUUACACGUACACUAAUAGCCCAUGUCGGAUUUCCCCUCGACCAGGCCCACAAAUUGGGGAAAACCAAUAUUAUUUCCUAUUGACACCAAUUGUAAAAUUGGCAACCUCGUUGUUAAAUAUUUGUUAUACAUAAAUAACAAAACAUGCUGAAAAUGUACAUGUAGUUAGGUCAAAAAUCCCAAUCUACAGUUCGCAAUGCUCCCACAUAAGGAAAGAGCCUGCCGAGAAGAGCCCUGUGGCUUCAGGCUAUUCGGUGUGGGAUAUUUGGGGACGCGGAGUCCAAGUAGGCUAUGUAUGGAAAACAUUUCAUCACAGGUAAGACAUUUAACUUGUUUAGUACCAUUCGUUUGUAACUCCACUAACUGCUUGUAGCUGUAUAGUCUGUUUGUUUGUGUUGUUGGUCUUGGCUAGUUUAAUGUUCCGGUCAGUAGAUAGCUAGCACUCACUCACUCAAGUGGCUGCUAGCAUCGUCAUGAAAAGGGGCAUGAGGGAAGCCCUACAAUAUGUUUUUCUAAGUAGUGAGAAUGCUAGGGAGCAGGCCAUGUUGGAAAGUGAUCUUUAGACUUUUGUACUUCUCUUAAAUGUAGUUUUGUAAUUGACUAAAACAAGCAGACAACAAGAAAAUUGCAUUUGAAAAAGGUCAAGUUUUGUUGUGAGCCAAUGGAGUAACUUACAGAGCAUUCGGAAAGUAUUCAGACGAAUAAGGUGAACCUUCGCCCCAGUCUGAGGUCCUCAGUGCUCUGGAGCAGGUUUUCAUCAAGGAUCUCUCUGUACUUUGCUCUGUUUAUCUUUCCCUCGAUCCUGACUAGUCUCCCAGUCCCUGCUGCUGAAAAACAUCCCCACAGCAUGAUGCUGCCACCACCAUGCUUCAUUGUAGGGAUGGUGCCAGGUUUCCUCCAGACGUGACGCUUGGCAUUCAGGCCAAAGAUUUCAAUCUUGGUUUCAUCAGACCAUAGAAUCUUGUUUCUCAUGGUCUGAGAGUCCUUUAGGUGCUUUUGGGAAACUCCAAGCGGGCUGAAGUGCCUUUUACUGAGGAGUGACUUCCGUCUGGCCACUCUACCAUAAGGGCCUGAUUGAUUGAGAGAUGGUUGUCCUUCUGGAAGGUUCUCCCAUCUCCACAGAGAACUAUUUAGCUCUGUCAGGGUGACCAUUGGGUUCUUGUUCACCUCCCUGACCAAGGCCCUUCUCCCCCGAUUGCUCAGUUUUGCCGGGUGGCCAGCUCUAGGAAGAGUCUUGGUGGUUCCAAACUUAUUCUAUUUAAGAAUGAUGGCCACUGUGUUCUUGGGGAUCUUCAAUGCUGCAGACAUUUUUUUGGUACUCUUCCCCAGAUCUGUGCCUCGACACAAUCCUGCCUCGAAGCUCUACAGACAAUUCCUUCCACCUCAUGGCUUGGGUUUUUGCUCUGACAUGCACUGUCAACUGUGAGACCUUAGAUAGACAGGUGUGUGGCUUUCCAAAUCAUGUCCAAUCAAUUGAAUUUACCACAAGUGUGGACUCUAAUCAAGUUGUAGAAACAUCUCAAGGAUGAUCAAUGGAAACCGGAUGCACAUGAGCUCAAUUUCAAGUCUCAUAUCAAAGGGUCUGAAUACUUAUGCAAAUAAGGUAUUUCUGGUUUUUAUUUUUAAUACAUUUGUAAAAAUUUAGAAAACCUGGUUUCGCUUUGUCGUUAUGGGGUAUUGUGUGUAGAUUGAUGAGGACAUUUUAUAUUUAUUCAAUUUUAGAAUAAGGCUGUAACAACAUUUUUAGAAAGUCAAGGGGUCUGAAUACUUUCUGAAUGCACUGUAGGUAACCACAGGUUGUUUUCCCUACAGGAGGGCAAGAUCGCAACGUUCUAUCCCAUAACGACUGGGUCUAUACUAGAUCCUGGGAGCUAUGGUCACGGAAUACAUCAUCGAGUUCUAAAGUAACAAUACCUGUGCUUACAAAUGCAGGUCAUCCACUAAAUAAACAAUACCAUUAACUUCCUGAUCCAACAUAGUUGAACCCUUUUGGUUUGGUUGAAUCACAGGUCCUGUGUCAUGUCGUAGAUAGAUGCCAUGGAUCUACUCUGCAUUGCCCCUUUGUGUGCCUGUAUCUCUGGAAGGGCUGGUGUCUGAAUUCAGUCUGAAUAUACUGAAGUGAACUGAGCCCAACUCUAGUGUCUGGUAAAGAGACAUUUCAGACCCUGUAACCAAGAAGAUAAAUGGCUAGUGUUAGAUGUUAAGGUUGGUUUAGGUCCAUGGGUGGGUGUCAUCCAGUCCUCCAUGUCUCUGUGGUCACCAUGACAACAGAUGUCCCAGGUUCAAGUUCUCCAGGAAAAAAAUUAAACAUUUAAGACCUAGAAUGUCCCAGGGGAAAAACAUGGAAGGCCACAGAAAAAGUACAAACACCAAGUUUCUAUCCACAUAGAAGAUUACAGACACCCAACAACUUUGAAAAAUGCCAGCUGAGUUUGGGGAGAAAACAUUGACGACUAAAAACAACUACCAAAAGCAUACUGUUCUUCACACAGAACGGAGGAAAGGAUACAACAGGACGACAACGAGAGAGAAAGAGAUACACAGGACGACAACGAGAGAGAAAGAGAGUGAGAGAGGACAGCUUCACUGGCUCUGCCAAACAAUGGGAAAAUAUUACAAAAUAUUCUAUUAACAAUAUUCACAAUAUAACCCAGGCUCUGGACAGAUCUCUGUCAGAAAUUCUCAGCAAACACCUUGUGCUUUUAGUUAGACGUGGUUUAAGUUUAAAUACAACCUUUUUGGUCUUGGUGUUGGAUAAUGAAGCAAGUUUACAUAAAAGGUCUGUUGAAUAUCUACAACUAGAGCCCAAAGGAAAGCAAAGGGAGGGAAACCGACCUACAAAAAAAGAGAGAAAUAAAAUCAAGAAUUUACAGGCACAUAUUGUGUAAAAGGCUUCCAGCUGAGAAUUUUGGACAAAAAUAUGUCCAGGAGCUUUCCAUGAGUGGCAGCUAGUCACACAUAUACAGAGCCAUGGACACUUACAGAAAGAGCUACACUUACAGACAGCUCCUCAAACUCACACACACUCAUACAGGCAUACACACAUACACGUUCACAAAUAUAAGAAACCCACUAGUAUCUCUGACACAGACACCUACCAUAGUUUGAUCUGUUAAGAAUUUUCACUGUGAAAUUAAAUUAUACCUGGGGAGAAAAAAAAGAAAAAGAAAAAAAGAUUUUGGAUGGUGAUUGACAUGUAUCUAUGACAACGAAUAAGUGGAUCAAACUGAAUCCAACCA